ACUCAAAGGAAUUGACGGGGGCCCGCACAAGCAGUGGAGUAUGUGGUUUAAUUCGAAGCAACGCGAAGAACCUUACCAGGGCUUGACAUCCCCAGAAGUCUCUCGAGAGAGAGAUGUGCCUUCGGGAACUGGGUGACAGGUGGUGCAUGGUUGUCGUCAGCUCGUGUCGUGAGAUGUUGGGUUAAGUCCCGCAACGAGCGCAACCCUUAUUGCUAGUUGCUAACAUUUAGUUGAGUACUCUAGCGAGACUGCCGUUGACAAAACGGAGGAAGGUGGGGACGAGGUCAAAUCAUCAUGCCCCUUAUGUCCUGGGCUACACACGUACUACAAUGGUUGGUCACAGAGGGAAGCGAAACCGCGAGGUGGAGCAAAUCCCCAAAACCAGCCCCAGUUCGGAUUGUAGGCUGAAACUCGCCUGCAUGAAGUUGGAAUUGCUAGUAAUCGCGAAUCAGCAUGUCGCGGUGAAUACGUUCCCGGGCCUUGCACACACCGCCCGU
rnacentral:rRNA from 1 species